UCCCCGUUAGUGUAACGGCAACACGACUGACUCUGAAUCAGUUAUUCUUAGUUCGAAUCUAGGAUGGGGAGC
rnacentral:tRNA from 1 species